CUCGUCUCUUCCGCAGGCAGUUUUUUCCACGGGCUUCCAUGAGGCAGGUUUUAGACGACAGAAUUCUAGCCCUUUAGGAAUGAAAGAGAAAUCAGGGCUUUCUCUCCGUGCCACGGUGGUGAGGCGAGUAUUCUAUCGAAGCCCACGCUUGGCACGUUUGCUUGUCUCCCGGGCCAUUGGAACCGUGUGAUCCAUAAGGCGCCUGAGCGCGCGUUUGGUCAGAGGGGCUCGGUCACUCGCCAGGGGAAACCCUGGGUGCGGGAGCUUCCUCUGCAUUUGGGCUGCACCUUGAUAGACUCAGAACCUACAGGGAAAGAUGACGGCUAACUCCGCCGACCUCUCAACCGGGAGAGCCCCAGAGAGGAAGCAGAUUUGUCUCCUGGACUAUCGAAGUGUCCCGGUGGCAAGCUAAGCGGAAAGCUAGUAAGUGGGCACUGUGUUGGGAGUAAGCAAUGUGGAGUCAUCUCUUCCCCCAGAGAAACGCUGACAAGUAUUAGCUCACAGACAUGUGUGCACAAAGAUGGAUGCUCACAGUUGUCCGUUGGAGCACUGUUUGAAGCAGCAAAAGGAACCAAUUCAACUUUCCCUGAGUAGGAAAAUGGCUAAAUAAAUGCAAGAAGCCCCUUGCCAGAAGCAAGCCUCAUGACUUAGGACUUUCCAGCCUCCAGAAUUGUAAGAAAUAGAUUUCUGUACUUCAUAUAAAAAAGUAUGAUGUGAUUGAUGCUU
rnacentral:lncRNA from 1 species